rnacentral:rRNA from 1 species
AUUGAACGCUGGCGGCAUGCCUUACACAUGCAAGUCGAACGGUAACAGGUCUUCGGAUGCUGACGAGUGGCGAACGGGUGAGUAAUACAUCGGAACGUGCCCGAUCGUGGGGGAUAACGAAGCGAAAGCUUUGCUAAUACCGCAUACGAUCUACGGAUGAAAGCAGGGGACCGCAAGGCCUUGCGCGAACGGAGCGGCCGAUGGCAGAUUAGGUAGUUGGUGGGAUAAAAGCUUACCAAGCCGACGAUCUGUAGCUGGUCUGAGAGGACGACCAGCCACACUGGGACUGAGACACGGCCCAGACUCCUACGGGAGGCAGCAGUGGGGAAUUUUGGACAAUGGGCGUAAGCCUGAUCCAGCCAUGCCGCGUGCAGGAUGAAGGCCUUCGGGUUGUAAACUGCUUUUGUACGGAACGAAAAGACUCUGGUUAAUACCUGGGGUCCAUGACGGUACCGUAAGAAUAAGCACCGGCUAACUACGUGUCAGCCGCCGCAGUAAAAC